rnacentral:rRNA from 1 species
GAUGAAUGUUGGCGGUGUGCCUGAGAUAUGCAAGUCGAACGUCUUUUGCGCCGCAAGGUGCGAGGGUAGUGGCGGACGGCUGAGUAAUACGUAGGGAUCUGCCCCUUUCUGGAAAAUAGCUUACCGAAAGGCGAGAUAAUAUUCCAUGAUGUCCGACGUUAUGUCGGACUAAAGAGAUUAACUUCUUGGAGAGGGAGGAACCUGCGGCCUAUCAGGUAGUUGGUAGGGUAACUGCCUACCAAGCCUACGACGGGUAGCUGGUCUGAGAGGAUGGUCAGCCAGAGGGGUACUGAGACACGGACCCCACUCCUACGGGAGGCAGCAAUCAGGAAUAGUCGGCAAUGGGCGAAAGCCUGACCGCGCGACACCGCGUGUGGGAAUAAGCUCUAAUCGAGUGUAAACCACUGUGGUAAGGGAAGAAGGUCCGACGUUACGUCGGACUUGACGGUACCUUACUAGAAAGGGGCCGCUAACUGCGUGCCAGAAGCGUCGGUAAUACGUGGGCCCCAAACAUUAUCCGGUUUUACUGGGCUUAAAGGGUCGUGUAGGCGUUCCGAUCAGUCUUGGUUUAAAAACUACGGCUUAACCGUGGGAAAGGUCGAGAUACUAUCGGGAUCGAGUUACUUUUAGGGAAACUGGAACUCAGGGAGGAGUAGUGAAAUGCGUUGAUACCCUGGGGAACACCGGUGGCGAAGGCGAGUUUCUGAAAGGUAACUGACGCUGAGACACGAAAGCUAGGGUAGCGAAGCAGAUUAGAGACCUGCGUAGUCCUAGCUGUAAACUAAUGCUUGCUAGCUGCACCUAUCGGCUUUAUUGCUGAAAGAUGUGGCGAAGGAAAUCCGUUAAGCAGGCCGCCUGGGGAUUACGACCGCAAGGUUAAAACUCAAAGGAAUUGGCGGGGAGGCACACAACCAGUGGAACAUGUGGUUUAAUUCGAAACGAACCGAAGAACCUCACCAGGACUUGACAUGCUAUCGUACAUUUCGCUAGAAAUAGUGAGAAAUCCGCAAGGAUGAUAGCACAGGUGCUGCAUGGCCGUCGUCAGCUCGUUCCGUGAGGAGUACCCUUAAGUGGGACAACGAGCGCAACCCCCACUCUGUGUUAAAUCUGUCACAGAGGACGGUCCCGACAUUGUCGGGAAGGAAGGAGGGGUAGACGUCAGGUCAGCAUGGUCCUUAUGUCCUGGGCUACACACAUGUUACAAUGAAGAGAAACAAUAGGUUGCUAACUUGUAAAAGGGAGCCAAUCCUACAAACCUCUUCUUAAGUGGGGAUUGAAGUCUGCAACUCGACUUCAUGAACGCGGAAUUGGUAGUAAUCGUGGGUCAGCUAUACCACGGUGAAUACGUUCUUGCCUCUUGCACACACCGCCCGUCAAGCCAACAAAGUCGAUAUUAUUUGAAAAUUCGUUUCCGAUUCGGAAGUGGAAAGAGGAUAGUGUCGGCGAUGGGGGUU